GACGAACGCUGGCGGCGUGCUUAACACAUGCAAGUCGAACGGAAAGGCCCUGCUUUUGUGGGGUGCUCGAGUGGCGAACGGGUGAGUAACACGUGAGUAACCUGCCCUUGACUUUGGGAUAACUUCAGGAAACUGGGGCUAAUACCGGAUAGGAGCUCCUGCUGCAUGGUGGGGGUUGGAAAGUUUCGGCGGUUGGGGAUGGACUCGCGGCUUAUCAGCUUGUUGGUUGGGUAGUGGCUUACCAAGGCUUUGACGGGUAGCCGGCCUGAGAGGGUUAACGGGAAAAAUGGGACUGAGAGACGGAACAGACGGCAACGGGAGGCAGCAGUGGGGAAUAGGGCAAAAUGGGAGGAAGCCUGAGGAAGAAACGCAGCGUGCGGGAUGAAGGCCUUCGGGUUGUAAACCGAAUUAGCCUGUGACGAAGCGUGAGUGACGGUAAUGGGUAAAGAAGCAACGGCUAACUACGUG
rnacentral:rRNA from 1 species